rnacentral:snoRNA from 1 species
UGUUGAUGAUGAUAAAUCUAAGGCUUGUUUCUCAAAACAUUCGCAGUGGCCGCCUAAGAGCUUUCGCCUUCGCCGGGCUUGAGAGCUAAUGCUGCUUUAUCCUUCCUUGGAUGUCUGAAACC